AAAUAUAUUUAUAUAUUUGUUAUUAUUAGUUAUUUUAAUACUUAUUGAAAUAUGUGCAUUUAGUUAUUUAUCAUGCAUACAAUAACAAAGUUCAGAAUUUUUCUACAAUAAGCAAGCAAACGUUUAAACCAAUCAUACGCAAAUAUUCGUCAGCAGAUGACGAACGAUGAGAAACAAUUUGUCAUUGUUUACUAGUGUUGAACGCUCUUAUUACAAUUAGAAAUGUUUAAUAAAGUAAAGCGAAAAUUAUUAGCCCGAGAACGAGUGGAAAAAUGCAGAUAUUUAAAAAAACCAAAACUUGAUGAAGAUUCUGAUAAUAAUCUAAAUUGAGUACAUGACCCUUCUUUCAUCUGGUGUAAAGACAGUUAAAAGCACAAUAAAUGAUGUAUUACCAUCGUUUUUAACAAAAGAAGUUCAACUUCAAUACAGUGGUUGUGGGAAAUUAACAAAAGGAGUUAGAAAAGAAAACUUUUCUCAAACUAAUAUUCACCGAUGUUUGAUGGUGUGAUUUUAAAACUUCUCACAACAACAAAAUCGGAAAUUAUGUCAGCAUUAAGUCGCUGGCUAUCUGAUGCAGUGGACAGAGAUGGAGGAAAACAACAAAGACAAUUAAAAAAAACAAGAUAAAAAUCAAAACAUUCCAAAUUAAAAAUUUAAAGUUUUUAUUUAUUUUUUAUCAAAAGCAUAAUUAAAUUAUGCAUUCAAUGGAACAAAUUCAAACAAAAA